rnacentral:rRNA from 1 species
GCAAGUCGAACGAGAAGCUUAACUUCGUUUAAGUGGAGAGUGGCGAACGGGUGAGUAACGCGUAGAUAAUUUACCAUGAGGUCUGGGAUAACCCCUCGAAAGAGGGGCUAAUACCGGAUAAUAAACGGGAUCGAAUGGUUUUGUUUUGAAAGAUUUAUUGCCUUGUGAUGAGUCUGCGUCGCAUUAGCUAGAUGGUGAGGUAAUGGCUCACCAUGGCGACGAUGCGUAGCGGGUCUGAGAGGAUGAUC